rnacentral:rRNA from 1 species
AACGAACGCUGGCGGCGUGCUUAACACAUGCAAGUCGAACGAGAAAGGAUCCUUCGGGGUCCGAGUAAAGUGGCGGACGGGUGAGUAAUGCAUGGAUGACCUGCCCUCGAGUGGGGGAUAACUACGGGAAACCGUGGCUAAUACCGCAUGAUGAUGUGCUGCUCUCGAGCAGCAUCUCCAAAGUUGGCCUCUACGUGUAAGCUGACGCUUGAGGAGGGGUCCAUGUCCCAUUAGCUUGUUGGUGAGGUAACGGCUCACCAAGGCUCCGAUGGGUAGCCGACCUGAGAGGGUGAUCGGCCACACUGGGACUGAGACACGGCCCAG